ACGCAAGCGUGGGGAAAGACGAGCAGGGGAAGCCUAGUAGUGCCGCCUGCCUUCAUUUCUACUAAGAUGUGUGACUCAGCCAGAGAGAGACGAGAGAGGAGGCCGUUCUUAACGUUUACUUUCCUCCUCUUUCCAAAUGUAAUGCAUGGCCGUUAUUGAGGAUACUGUUGAUAAGAAAAACCGAGAACAAGAGCCCAGAGGACUUGCUGAGGGAGCAGGCUUGACCCAGGAGGUAGUCUUAGAAGCACCGUUAUGCGCACAAAGCUUUAUCCUGAUUUGGGGAGCCGCCUAGUGCUAUCGUCCCCUUGCUCAGGUCUAAGGGCUGGACUGUAAGUAGUGGAUCCCUUCUGCCUGGAUUGUGGGUGAUUGUCUCCUAUGCUCAGAUGUUUGGUCUCAGGCCGUGGCUUUUGGCAGAAAUCAGUGAUUUUUCAGAACGUUGGAAGGUGCCCACAAUUGGCACUAGUGUAUCCUUUCUUACUUCAGAGUACCUAUGGACAGUCCUUUGCUUUUCCAUACAAGAGGAAGCUUAGGAAUGCUUCGCUUCAUUCCAGGUCAGGCUGCCUGCAGAUAUAGACCCUUUCUUCUGCCUUAUUGCCAGUUACAUUACAUACAGCAUAUGACGAGAGUUUAUCGAUACUGGACGGCGGUCAACAUCCGUGAGAGCGAAUACAGUGGUCCCCAUGCAGAAAAAGCCUCUACUGAGUCAAUAGACAGCAGUGAUUCCGUUAGUGAUAGUGAAAGUUGUCCUACACAAUAACCCUCCAAUUUCGUCUCUGUCACACCAGCCACGAAAGUUUUCAAAGGUAA